GACGCGACGCCAAGGCGUCGAGGCUGAGGCCAAUCUCAAGUCCGGCCCCUUCGAGCUUUAUGCCAGCUAUGCCUUUGUCGAUGCGCGAUUCCGCGACGCUUUGACGCUUGGCUCCAACAGCCCCUUCGCUGAUGCCGACGGUAAUGUCCAGGUGUUGCCGGGCGAUCGGAUACCUGCAGUGCCCCAGCACCGCUUCAAGGCGCGCGUGGAUUUUUCGGUGACCGAUGCGUUCAAGGUCGGUGCCGAUAUGCUGU
rnacentral:misc_RNA from 1 species